CUUUAAAAUUAUUUUUAUUGUGAAAGUAAUUCAUACACACCAUACAACAAACGGAAAAAUGAAGAAAAAAUGUACGUGUGUACACUUAGAAUUACUCCCUAGAACGGGCAGAUACAGGGGAUUUUCAGGGCAGUGAAAAUAUUCUGUAUGAUACUCUGACGGUGGGUUCAUGUCAUCACACAUUUGUCAAAAGCCAUGGACUGCACAGCCCCAAGAGUGAGCCCGGAUGUCAGCUGUGGACUCUAGGUGAUAACGACCUGUCGGUGUAGCUUCACCCAUUGUAACGAACGUACCCUCUGGUGGGGAUGCUGGUGGCGGGGGAGGUUGUGGGCAGGUGCAGGGAGGGGCAUACGGGAAACUUCCGUACCUUCUGCUCAAUAUUGCUAUCAGUGUAAAACUGCUCUAAAAAAUAAACUCUAUUUAAAAAAAUAAAACGACCUAACUCUUGUUGCCAUUCUGGUGAAUGUCUUUUUAGGGUGUUUUUUUUUUUUUUUUUUUUUUUUUUUUUUUGGCCAUGCUCAAGUCAUGUGGAAAUUCCCCAGCCAGGGAUGGAACCCAUGCCACAGCAGCAACUUGAGCCACAGCAGUGACAAAGUUGGAUCUUUAACUCACUGAUCCACCAGGGAACUCCAUAGGUUUUUUCCUUUUCUUUCUUUUGUUUUGGUCUUUUUAAGGCCUCACCUGCAGCAUAUGAAGAUUCCCAGGGUAAAAGUUGAAUUGGAGCUGUAGCUGCCAGCCUACACCACAGCCACAGCAACACCAGAUCUGAGCCACACCUGCGACCUACACCACAGCUCACGGCAACGCUGGAUCCUUAACCGAGUGAGGCCAGGGAUCGAACCUGCCACCUCAUGGUUUCUUGUCCCAUUCUUUACCACUGAGCCAUGAUGGGAACUGUUAUUUUAAAAAUCUCUUUUCUCCUGUUGCUUACCCCAGAGGCUGGCUCCUGCUCAACAAACACGUCUGCUACGAGCAGAGGGCUAUGAUGAAAGAUUUGUGGACUGGAUUUCUGCUUUACCCGUUGCUCUCAUCAGCUACCAUCACAGCACGCACGUGUGAAGCGUAAACACAAACAGCUUGGAGGACACGUUCCCCCGCCGCGGGGCAAAGGCAGGGCCAUCUGUGGGCUCCCUGCCCAGCUGUGUGUUUGGGUGAUUCCGGGCCACACCCGAGAUGGGAGCCGGUGAGGGGUGGUCUCGGAGGAUGGAGCUGGAGGAGCGGAGACGGUCACUUCUCGAGUGCCAGUGGCAAGUAGUAAGCAGCUACCCUUGUCACUGUGCCUUCAGAGAGACUGGAAGAACGACCGAGAGAAUGACUUCGGCUGGUAGUCACAGCCCCUCUGCGCUCCCUAAAAACCCUCAGGGCCUCCCACCACCCUCAGGACGAGACCUGUCUGCUCACAGCCCAACAGGGCCCGAGACCUGGGCCUCCUCCGCCAGCCCGGCUUCCUCUUGCUCGUCGUCGUUGGGCGUCCAGGUUUUGUCUGCAUUGCCGGCUUGUGCUCCAGCCUUCAGCUCUCGGCACCCUCUGCCUCCCCCGGCUGGCCUCCCCCAGCACAGCGCGGUGCUGCCUACCCUCCAUACGGCUCGUUCUUCUUGGCUGAAAAGCACCGACUUGGGGGUUCACCUGGGUCCUGUGGGCCAGGGCUCCUGGUGCAGCUCCAGCUCCAUGGUUCUGAUUCGGGGAUUCUCUUGAGGUUGCAGGGAAGGUGUUGGCUGGGGCUGCGCCACUCGAAGGCUUGACCGGGGCUGGAGGAUCCGAGAUGCUGCACUCACUGCCCACGUUGGUGCGGCCGGCUGUGGGCAGGAGCCUCGGUUCCUCCCCACGGGGACCUCUGCCCGCAGAGCCACUAGAGUGUCCUCACAGCACAGCAGCCGGCUUUCCCCAGAGCAAAUGACCCGAGACAGGGCAGCGGGCCUCCAGUCUCAGGCCAUCACUCCC
rnacentral:lncRNA from 1 species